ACUUUUUUCGAAAAUAAUCUUGUGAAAUUUCGUAUUUGCCAAACCAACCCUGUGAAAUUUUUAUUUGUGAAACUAACACUCCUCUCGCCACGUAGGCGCCACGUCAGGGAUUCCUCAAAAAGACGGUGAAUUAUUCAUCGUCUUUGAUAUUUGUUGUGAAGGCGGUGAAUCGUUCACCGUCUUCAUAAGGCGGUGAACCAUUCACUGUCUUUAGUACAAAUUCCUACUCUGCGCAAAUCUUUCCAAGUCCAUAAUAUGGUGCCCUUGAUAAGACGGUGAAUCGUUCCCUAUCUUCUCGAGGGCACAGAAACGGCGGACUUGAGAGGGCGAAAAGGGGAAGGGCGGAAAGGAAAAUUUUGCACUCACCGUCUUCUAAAGACGGUGAAUGAUUCACCGUCUUCUAAAGGCGGUGAACCAUUCACCACUUUUACAACAAAAAUUACAAAGACGGUGAACGAUUCACCGUCUUUUUUAGGAAUCUCUGACGUGGCGCCCACGUGGCGAAAGGAGGGUUAGUUUUACAAAUAAAAUUUUAGUAGAGUUAUUUUGCCAAAAUCGAAUUUCUGGAGGGUCAUUUUAUAAAAAAAACCCCAUUUGGACUGUAUGGCUAGGAGGGUUAUUUUUUUUUGAAGGACAAGUUCAUACAUAUUUAUGUAAAUUUUUAACAUUACAUAUAUAUUUCUAUAAAAGUAUAAUUAUAUAUUUCUUUAAAGUUAUAAAAUAUAUGAAAUUAAUGAAAUUAAUUUCUAGUGAUUCAAUAUUGUUAGUUGAUUAUUAAUUUUUAAUUGUGAGGAUUGUUAUGUCGAAUAAACAACAGUUAUUUCAUAUUGUUUUUUAUAAUUUAUAAUUUACCAUUUUAUGUAGAAUGAUCAAUUAUUAUAUUUCCUCUUACAAUUUAUUACUUUAUAAUCAUUUAAAAUUAUAUUAGCUAUUAUUUGAUUUUGCAUAUAAACUAAUAAAUAAUAAUUUAUUAUAUUAAGCAAGUUAGAUUAGUAUUUUUUUAAAAGCACAGAAGUCUCCGUGCUUUUAAAUUAUUUUCGAGAAUAGAAUAACUGAUUCAGUGAUCAGCUCUACCAGAUAUGAUCUACAAUAUUAUAACUAUCUAGAAACCAAACUUCAUAAUUUUUUUACUUUAUUCAUCUAAUAAGCAAGCAGUCUCAAAAUAAAGAACUAAAAAAAAAAUCUCACAAAAACAGUGAUUGAAGACUUAAAUUUCAAAUCAAAAGUACCGAUCUUGCUCUUGUUAGAAAAAGAAUUUUUUAUUAAAAAUUUAACUAAUUUGGAUUAUCCUACAUGUUGAACUUACAAACAUACCACAUUGGCAAUUCAAAUAGCCAUUUUUUAGACAUUUUAAUCACUUAGCAAAUAAUGUUGAAGAAUUAUAAAAAUUGAUUUCUAAAUAGUUUCAAUUGUAUAUAUUAUGUCUAACGGAGCAAAAUUGUUGAAUCAGAUGUCUCAUUCUGGAAA
rnacentral:lncRNA from 1 species